GUCCCACCGCCAUCUUUGCGGUGGGUUCUGCUGAAGCCGAACGAUCCUGCAUAUUGUGUUUUUUGUUGUUGUUGUUUUAAGCCCUGGGCUUUCCAGGCUGAACUUUCUCACUACCAUUACACUGAAAAAGAGCCCUUGAAAGUUUUGCUCGGAUCUUGCACAUUCUUUUGGAAGUCUUACUGUGGAAAUUGUCCGUGUUUUCAGCUUCCACAUCCCUUUCUCCUGGGAGAUUUCUUUUCCGUUUUUUUUACUUUGUCUCUUUUCUUUCCUCCGCAACUGCUUUGUUGUUGUUGUUGUUGUUUCUUGUAAACCACUUCUCAAAAGUGAACUAGUUGCCGUUUAAUAGAAGUUUGGAUGAACUGCCCCCAAAAUAAAGGAAAUCCGAACAGUCAUGGAAGUUGACUCCAAUUGGAGGGAUGGCUCUGAUCAAUUACUCUUUCCACAGUAAGUUAUUAGCUCAGGAUUGAUUAGAGGAACUUUUUGUAAAUCAAUAUUGUACCUGACAUGCCUAAAGUUUGGAUACACUGAGCAUACGCAUCUCCAAGAAAGUUUUCUGAGUUAUAAUCUUUUUCUUUGACCAACAAACAAAAGAAAAGCAUAUAAUUGAUUUUCAUGCUUAAGAUACUGGUGUAGUUUUACACGAUAAUUCCCCACUACACCCCCUUGUCUUAAACUGAAAGAAAGGUAUGCCUAUACAUACAUUUUACUUACAGAAGAUGAUACAUGUUGACCUUUGCCAUUCUGAAAAGCAUCCCCCCCCCAACCUCCUACCUUAACCUGUUUUUCAGGAAAUCCAGUUUUUGUUGGGGAAUGUUGACUCACUACAGUGCUAAAAGAGGAUGUACACUUUUUUGAGCAUUUUUAUACAUAUGAAAUUGAAGUUAUGGUGCUUAUCAAUAACAUGAACAUGCAUGAACGAACCUAGGACUAGAACACUACCAAUAUGAUUGCGUUUAUCAUUUUUCUUCCCAUAAAUCUGCUAUGGUGAUCUAUGAUCAGUGAUAAGUUGAAAUCACUGUUGUAAUUGUUUUGAGGCACCACAAACCACACCCAUAGAAGACAGCAAUCAAUCAAUAAAUGUGUAUGUUCUGACUGCCCCACUGACAGGCUACUCUGCCAUCUCUCUCCCUCUCCUGGGGCCUAUCUGUUCCCUUAAACACAAUAAUAUUGAAAUUAGGCCAAUUAAGAACUCUGCAAUGGUUUUCUAGGUGUUCAAGUGAAAGGAAAAGUUGCGUAUCUCUCACUUUAAAUCAAAAGCUAGAAAUGAUUCAUCUUAGUGCAGAAGGCAUGUUGAAAGCUGAGAUAGGCCCCCUUGCACCAAACAGCCAAGUUGUGAAUGCAAAUGAGAAGUUUUUGAAGGAAAUUAAAAGUGCUACUCCAGUGAACACAUGAAUGAUAAGAAAGUGAAACAGACUUACUGCUGAUACGAAGAACGUUUGAGUGGUCUGGAUAGAAGGUCAAACCAGCCACAAGAUUUCCUUAAGCCAAAGCUGAAUCCAGAGCAAAGCCCUAACUGCCUUCAAUUUUGUGAAGGCUGAGAGACCUGAGGAAGUUGCAGAAGACAAGUUAAAAGCUAGCAGAGGUUGGUUCAUGAAGUUUAAGGAAAGAAGCUGUCUUCAUAAUAUAGAAGUGUAAGGUGAAGCAGCAAAUACUGAUGUAGGAGCUGCAGCAAGUUAACUAGAACAGGGGUCCCCAACCCCCGGCCCUUGGACCGGUACUGGUCCCUAGCCUGUAAGGAACAAGGACGCACAGCGUGAGGGAAUUGAACAGCUUGGACUUGGAGACAGUGAGUUAAAACAGAAAUAAGAAGGCGGCAGAAAAAGACUACCAGAUUGAAAUGUGUUGGAUAUUCAUAUCCACCCAGCACCUCAGAAUGUGGCCAUGGAGGAUGGAGACAGAGAUUGGAGUGAUGCAUCUUCAAGCCUAGGAACACUAAGGAUUGCUGGUAAUCACCAGAAGCUGGAAGAGGCAAGAAAGUGUCCUUUCCUAGAGCCUUCAGAGAGAGCGCAGCCCUGCCAACACCUUGAUUAUAUGCUUCAAGCUUCUAGAAUUGUGAGAGAAUAAAUUUCUGUUGUUAUAAGCCAC
rnacentral:lncRNA from 1 species